rnacentral:misc_RNA from 1 species
UCUCCGUAGGUGAACCUGCGGAGGGAUCAUUACAGAGUUCAUGCUCUACCGCGUUGAUCCCCCACCCUACGCCAUUUUUACUUUGUUGCGUUGGCUGGUCGUUAGGCCCCGGCCUGCCUACCGGCCCCUGCAGGGAAGCGGCCGCCAGAGGACCCAAACCCCUGAUUAUUAGAGUCGUCUGCUUUCUCUAAAAUAGUUAAAACUUUCAACCAACGAACCCUUGGAUCUGGCUUCGAUGAAGAACACAGCAGCUCGGGACAGCCACCCUCUGAACUCCAA